rnacentral:rRNA from 1 species
UACAGAGGGUGCAAGCGUUGUUCGGAAUUACUGGGCGUAAAGCGCGUGUAGGCGGUUUAAUAAGUCGGAUGUGAAAUCCCUCAGCUUAACUGAGGAACUGCAUCUGAUACUGUUAAACUUGAGUAUCGGAGGGGAUGGCGGAAUUCCUGGUGUAGAGGUGAAAUUCGUAGAUAUCAGGAGGAACACCUGUGGCGAAGGCGGCCAUCUGGAAGAUUACUGACGCUGAGACGCGAAAGCGUGGGGAGCAAACAGG